UGGGGAAUAUUGCGCAAUGGGGGAAACCCUGACGCAGCAACGCCGCGUGAAUGAAGAAGGUUUUCGGAUCGUAAAGUUCUAUCAGCAGGGAUGAAAAAAAUGACAGUACCUGACUAAGAAGCCCCGGCUAACUACGUGCCAGCAGCCGCGGUAAUACGUAGGGGGCAAGCGUUAUCCGGAUUUACUGGGUGUAAAGGGUGCGUAGCCGGAAAAGUAAGUCAGAUGUGAAAGCCCGAAGCUCAACUUCGGGAUUGCAUUUGAAACUACUUUUCUUGAGUGCAGGAGAGGAAAGUGGAAUUCCUAGUGUAGCGGUGAAAUGCGUAGAUAUUAGGAGGAACACCAGUGGCGAAGGCGACUUUCUGGACUGUAACUGACGGUGAGGCACGAAAGCGUGGGGAGC
rnacentral:rRNA from 1 species